ACUUAGAGAAAAGGGCUAUUUGGUUUUAGUGGAUAGUGAUUGAAGAUUUUUGGUAGAUGUGAGGGAGGAGCGUAAUUUGUGGAUAGAGUUCAAUUCUGGGAGUCCUUAUAGGCAUCAGUUUCCUAGGUAUUCAGAGAUUGGUUAGUUGCUAUCUUCUCAAAUUGCAGUGUUGCUGUUAUUUAGUAUAUUGUUUUUGUCGUUGGCUUUGCUAGUGCUUUUCUCUGUGUGUGUGUGUUUUUUUUUCUUUUUUUGGUGGUGUUCUUAUCCACUGUUGUUUGCAUUGUCUUGAUCAUUAAUACUCAGCUGGUAUAAUAGCAGAUAUUUGGCUGAACUACUAGUACAGAAGCAAAAGUUGGGACCAUUUGGGCAGUCAUGACAAAGAAAGGAAAAGGACAGAAAAGGGCAGCAAGCACUUUACAUCUCAAGUCUUCCACACGUUCACAGUCUGAAGACAUUCCCAAUGAAUCAACACAUGGUGACGAAGAGGUGGAAGGGCUGGAAACUGAGGCUACCAAGAGGAAAGGUAGAGGCCCUGCCAAAGGAGAAAAAGGCUACGGCAUGAAUGCAGAGAUUUAUGGAAAGAGGAUUAUAACUCCCCAAGCUUUGCGAAGUAUUUGGCCCCUCUUCAGGUCAGAGCUGUAAGGCCCAUUCAUAACAUGGGCACAAUAUUUGCAAGAUCAAUUGGAUAAGUUGUUUGACCUAUGGAAGAAUAAAAAUUUCAAAUUUGAUUGCUCCGAGGAUGUUG